GCCUGCCCAGUGAUUAUUUAUUCAACGGCCGCGGUAUCCUAACCGUGCAAAGGUAGCGCAAUCACUUGUUCUUUAAAUAAGGACUAGUAUGAAUGGCGACAUGAGGAUCAACUUGUCUCUCAUGAUAAGUCUAUGAAACUGAUCUUCCAGUACAAAAGCUGGAAUAAAGCCACAAGACGAGAAGACCCUGUGGAGCUUCAAACAACAACUCACCCACAAUGACGUUGUAGUUUUCAGUUGGGGCGACUUUGGAGACAAACAAAACCUCCAAACCACAAACUUAGGCUGACAGGCCUAACAACACAAUCCCACAUGACCCAAUAUAAUUGAUCAAUGAACCAAGUUACCCCAGGGAUAACAGCGCAAUCUUCUUCUAGAGUCCCUAUCGACAAGAAGGUUUACGACCUCGAUGUUGGAUCCGGAUACCCAAAUAGUGCAGCCGCCAUUAAAGGUUCGUUUGUUCAACGAUUAAUAUCCCACGUGAUCUGAGUUCAGACCGG
rnacentral:rRNA from 1 species